UUUUCUGUGGCUAAGUCAGUAGAGCAUUGCGCUCACAAUGCGAAAGUUGUGAGUUCAAUCCCCAGGGAAA